rnacentral:lncRNA from 1 species
UAAGCUCUAAAAGACUCAUGAAUUGCACACAUGUCCAAAUAAAACACAAAUACUCCACAUAAAGUGAAGAGAUCACAAACUCCACACAAAAUGGAGAUAAACCGCGAAAAAUAGCAUAAACAUAAGUAAUAUAAAUUAUGUCGAAUGGGCAUAAAUCUAUAACGUGUUUAACAAAAAGAACAUAAAAAUUUGCAACAAAAUCAAAAAUAAAAGGGAG